UACGAAGGGGGCUAGCGUUGCUCGGAAUCACUGGGCGUAAAGCGCACGUAGGCGGACUCUUAAGUCAGGGGUGAAAUCCUGGAGCUCAACUCCAGAACUGCCUUUGAUACUGGGAGUCUUGAGUUCGGGAGAGGUGAGUGGAACUGCGAGUGUAGAGGUGAAAUUCGUAGAUAUUAGGAAGAACACCGGUGGCGAAGGCGGCCCACUGGUCCGGUACUGACGCUGAGGUGCGAAAGCGUGGGGAGCAAACAGG
rnacentral:rRNA from 1 species